CUGUAGCUCAGUUGCUAGAGUGCUUGUCUACCACUCAUGAAACCCUGGGUUCCAUUCUCAGCAG
rnacentral:tRNA from 1 species